rnacentral:lncRNA from 1 species
CAGGAAGAUAAUUUGAGAAUUACUGAGAAACAUUGCCUAUAGGUGGGGGAGGGGUCAUCAUAAAAGUUAUCAUCCAGAACAAAUGCCUUUUGGGAAAGUAGAAAUAAUAGGAAAAUAGACCAGAAACCCAAGACACCUGUAACAAUUUAUCUACAGUUAAUGCGAGCUAGGAGGCUAACAGAUGAUCAGAUUUUGCACAGAUUGAUGAUUCAUUGGGUCAGAAUUUAAGACACUUCUCGUAGUCUCAGAGGGAGGAUAGAGACAAAAUUUCAGGAUUGGAAGUGCUUCCAGGGCAUGUAGGAUCAGGGAAGCACCACAGCACAGGUGGUGAGUGUCGUGAGCAAAAGCAGGAGGGUAGAAAGAGCCAUAAGUGCUGAGGACAUUAGUCUUCUCACUUCUUCAACAUGACAGGCCUAUAUUCAAUAUAAUUGCAUUCAAGCUAACUCAGCUGAUAAAGUUUGCAAUCAACUGUCGAAACCCACCCUCCUGGCGUCAAAUCUAGGACUCUUGCUAUUUGGUCACAGCUGCAGAAAAACAAAGCAGGCAAAGAAAGGGAAAGUAAGAGAGCAAAUGAAGACAAACUUCACCUCCUUUGAAAUGUUCCCUAGGACGGCCCUCUCUGCACAGCUCAUCCUAAGAAUCAGGAGAGAACAAAUACGUAGUUGAAAGGCAUUCUUCUGAGAAUCACCACGCCCGAAGAGACUGGUAACAUCCACCACAGUAGAACAGUGGACUGGACUAGCAAUCAAGAAGCCUGAUUUUAUUUCUAGUUUGGACGCUAACUAGCUUUGUGACCCUAAGCACGUCAUUUCAUCUCUCAGUUUUAGUUUUUUCAUCUAUGAAGUGAGAAAAAUGGACUAGGUGGUCUCCCAGGAUUCAUAAAAUGAUAGAGAUGAAAUAGACUGUAGUCUACACAUCUGAAUUUGUUUUACAGAUGAAAGCAAAGAGCUCCAGAGGGGUAUAGUGUCUUGUCCAAUGCUCAGUUGAGUUAAUUGAAAAGUGAAAAUAAAACUCAAGUAUUCUGAUUUCUAUGCUUGCUCACUUCUACACAUUGAAACUUAACAUACUUGUUUAUUAGCCAAAGAACUAUGAAUUGAACAUUUUUUCUCAUUUAUAGAUUAAAUACAUAAGGGAAAUAUAAGUAAAUAUUCAUUAUAUUUUUUAAAUUUAUAUAUAUUUAUAAAUAUUUAAGUAUACUCAUUAUAUAUUUGUUAUAUUAAUAUAAAAUAUAUAGUUAUCAUAUGUUGAAAUUUGUAUGUGUAUAUUAUAUUAAUCUCUCUCUUUUUCAGUCAUCAAUAGCAUAUGAAGAUGACUUUUGCACAUUGUUGUAUUUUGUUUGAAUUUACAGGAAGUUUGAAAUUUAAAAAAAGUAUCAAUACAGUGUAAAUGUCAAUAUUUGUUCAUGAUUACUAGACAACAAAUUUGUAAUCAUUGAUUUUAGUUUAGAUACUGCUUUAAGACAGACUACUGUAGAAAGUUUUUUCCCAUUAUACAAAGUCAUCACGCAUAAAUUUCCUAUACAAAUAAAGAAUUAAACCUGUAUAAUAUCACAGAGAGAUGUUUCCUGGGAUGACACGGUGGUGAACUAACUUCUGAGGUCCCCUUGGGGUCUUAUUCACUUGGUGAAUUUACCCCAACUCUGGAAAACUGAUUUGUCAAAUCCUUGUAAUUUUCAUCUUUCUAAGAAACACUCAGGACUUGAUCAAAUUAACUAAGCUCGUAGAACAAGAUAUAUAAAACCAGACAACUAAUUUAUUAAUUUAAAAUUAAAAUUUAACUUCCAAGAGGACUAAAGAGUUCUGUCUUUUGGCUAGUUCAUUCUUCUUGUAAGUAAAACACUAAGGUAGUCAACUAAUAAUCAGAAGUUUCAU